rnacentral:rRNA from 1 species
GAUGAACGCUGGCGGCGUGCCUAAUACAUGCAAGUUGAGCGCUGGAGGUUGGUACUUGUAUCAAUUGUAUGAGCAGCGAACGGGUGAGUAACGCGUGGGGAAUCUGCCUUUGAGCGGGGGAUAACAUCGGGAAACGAAUGCUAAUACCGCAUAAUAACUUUAAACACAUGGUUCAAGUUUGAAAGAUGCAAUUGCAUCACUCAAAGAUGAGCUCGCGUUGGAUUAGCUAGUUGGUGAGGUAAAGGCCCACCCAGGCGAUGAUACAUAGCCGACCUGAGAGGGUGAUCCGCCAACAUGGGACUUGGGAACCGCCCAAGCUCCCUCCGGAAGCAGCAGUAGGGGAUCUUCGGCAAAAGACGAAAGUCUGGACGGACAACGGCGGGGUGGGGAAGGAGGUUCUCGGAUCCUAAAACUCUUUUGAUAGGGGAAGACGUUAGUGGGAGUGGAAUGCGCAUAAAGUGACGGUAACUACCCAGAAAGCGACGGCUAACUACGUG